rnacentral:tRNA from 1 species
UUAUAUAUGGUGUAAGGCACAUUAGAUUUUCAUUUUAAAGGAGUAUAUCAUUAUACUAUAUCAG